CACGUAGGGCGCAAGCGUUGUCCGGAAUUAUUGGGCGUAAAGAGCUCGUAGGCGGUCUGUUACGUCUGCUGUGAAAACCCAGGGCUUAACCCUGGGCUUGCAGUGGAUACGGGCAGACUAGAGGCAGGUAGGGGAGAAUGGAAUUCCCGGUGUAGCGGUGAAAUGCGCAGAUAUCGGUGGGAACGCCAGUGGCGAAAGCGGCAAACUUGACCCUUCCUGACGCUGAUGCGCGAAAGCUAGGGGAGCAAACGGG
rnacentral:rRNA from 1 species